rnacentral:misc_RNA from 1 species
GUUACUUUGUUCGGCCUUUCGAUAUUUGUAGCACUUUGCGCUUUUGCUACACCUUGAAUCUUCCUUGGGUUUCUUUGAAGGAAACACUUUUCAAUUUUUCAUCAUCAAUUCAGGCUUUGAGCUUCUAAUUCUAGCCACCAACUCACCCUCUCCUCCCACCUUUCAAACCCACAACACAACACCACAGUCCCUUCUUGUGCUCUUGCCUCGUGGAUCUUACACUAUAUAUGCCCCG